GACUCCAUGGCCCAGUGGAGAAGGCACUGGUCUACAGAACCAGAGAUUCUGGGUUCCAUCCCCAGUGGUGUCA